AGGACGAACGCUGGCGGCGUGCCUAAUACAUGCAAGUCGAGCGAAUCUGAGGGAGCUUGCUCCCAAAGAUUAGCGGCGGACGGGUGAGUAACACGUGGGCAACCUGCCUGUAAGACUGGGAUAACUUCGGGAAACCGGAGCUAAUACCGGAUAAUCCUUUUCUACUCAUGUAGAAAAGCUGAAAGAUGGCUUCGGCUAUCACUUACAGAUGGGCCCGCGGCGCAUUAGCUAGUUGGUGAGGUAACGGCUCACCAAGGCGACGAUGCGUAGCCGACCUGAGAGGGUGAUCGGCCACACUGGGACUGAGACACGGCCCAGACUCCUACGGGAGGCAGCAGUAGGGAAUCUUCCGCAAUGGACGAAAGUCUGACGGAGCAACGCCGCGUGAGUGAUGAAGGUUUUCGGAUCGUAAAACUCUGUUGUUAGGGAAGAACAAGUACCGUUCGAAUAGGGCGGUACCUUGACGGUACCUAACCAGAAAGCCACGGCUAACUACGUGCCAGCAGCCGCGGUAAUACGUAGGUGGCAAGCGUUGUCCGGAAUUAUUGGGCGUAAAGCGCGCGCAGGUGGUUUCUUAAGUCUGAUGUGAAAGCCCCCGGCUCAACCGGGGAGGGUCAUUGGAAACUGGGAGACUUGAGUGCAGAAGAGGAAAGUGGAAUUCCAAGUGUAGCGGUGAAAUGCGUAGAGAUUUGGAGGAACACCAGUGGCGAAGGCGACUUUCUGGUCUGUAACUGACACUGAGGCGCGAAAGCGUGGGGAGCGAACAGGAUUAGAUACCCUGGUAGUCCACGCCGUAAACGAUGAGUGCUAAGUGUUAGAGGGUUUCCGCCCUUUAGUGCUGCAGCAAACGCAUUAAGCACUCCGCCUGGGGAGUACGGCCGCAAGGCUGAAACUCAAAGGAAUUGACGGGGGCCCGCACAAGCGGUGGAGCAUGUGGUUUAAUUCGAAGCAACGCGAAGAACCUUACCAGGUCUUGACAUCCUCUGACAAUCCUAGAGAUAGGACGUUCCCCUUCGGGGGACAGAGUGACAGGUGGUGCAUGGUUGUCGUCAGCUCGUGUCGUGAGAUGUUGGGUUAAGUCCCGCAACGAGCGCAACCCUUGAUCUUAGUUGCCAGCAUUCAGUUGGGCACUCUAAGGUGACUGCCGGUGACAAACCGGAGGAAGGUGGGGAUGACGUCAAAUCAUCAUGCCCCUUAUGACCUGGGCUACACACGUGCUACAAUGGAUGGUACAAAGGGCUGCAAGACCGCGAGGUUUAGCCAAUCCCAUAAAACCAUUCUCAGUUCGGAUUGCAGGCUGCAACUCGCCUGCAUGAAGCCGGAAUCGCUAGUAAUCGCGGAUCAGCAUGCCGCGGUGAAUACGUUCCCGGGCCUUGUACACACCGCCCGUCACACCACGAGAGUUUGUAACACCCGAAGUCGGUGGGGUAACCGCAAGGAGCCAGCCGCCUAAGGUGGGACAGAUGAUUGGGGUGAAGUCGAAAGGGGAA
rnacentral:rRNA from 2 species